GAUUUUGAUGGAAAUAUUCAGACAGACCUCCACCCCUUUGAAAUCUUGUCGACUAGUUUGCCAAUUUUGGAACGAAAUCGCCCUCUCCCUUCCAAACACAAGACUUCAGUUGAACCUGUACAAACUGUAUGGCCUAAACGAGGACCACUUUUCACUUAUCCAAUUAUCGUUCUCAUUAGAUAGCCUGCUUGCGAAACGGAUCAGCGCCACGUGUAAAUACUACGCCACACGCAUAGACCCGUUCGUCUGUAGGCUGACAUGCUUUGAAGACUGCGUUUCCGAAUUUGAUGAGGUUACGUGUGGAUACAUGUAGCAUGACGGACGACCGCGGGGAGGAGAGUGGGAUGAAGUUGGGCGUGGUGCUUAAGGCGUGUGGGGGUUGGGGAGGGUUGAAAUGUAUGGAGUUGUCGUUGGCGAUUUAUCCACAAGAAAUUAUGGAUGUCAUUCAGGGUCUGUUGGAAGGACGGGAAUUGUACAAAGGGCUGAAAACUCUGGAAAUUUUGGGAUACAAAGGCUAUUAUGAACACAAUUUGAAACAGGACCAGUUGGAUCUGAUGAAGUAAUUGCUACUCGCGAUGAAUGUCAUGGACGACGUUAUCAUUUCAUGUCUUCGCGUUAGAGAAGAAUCUGAGAGGAAUAUAUUCAAUAUAAUGGUGUCAAACAACUUGGAUGUCUCGAAGUUUAGGAUUUUUUAUGGGAAACCGGCCCGUCUUGGGAGCGAUUAAUUACAAUUUGGAUUUUAUGCUAAGAUUCGACGAAUCGGCGACAUCAAUAAGGGAUCACAACUUAAAAAUGCAAAUAUGUUGACAAAGUUCUUAGGUUUACGAAAAGUUUCUAGCUAUGAAUUAACAGUUUUGUUUCUUAAUACAUACGUGUGCAUAGUUAAAUUAUGCGUUUAAUAUUCCAGAAAAAAAUCAAGGGUAAUUAUUUGUAGAUAGUUAAAUGCUGCUUAUUUUUAUGUAUAUGUUCCGUAAAAAUUUACUAAAUAUGAGAAUUCCUGGAAACAUUAAAAAUUUCUGAAAAUUGUUCGAAAAUUUCAUAAUAAUACUCGAGACUUCCUGGAAACUUUCCCCUCUUUCCG